rnacentral:rRNA from 1 species
CCGGCGACCGGCGCACGGGUGAGUAACACGUAUGGAACCUGCCCGCAGCAGGGGGAUAAGCGGAAGAAAUUCCGUCUAAUACCGCGUAACAACGUUGGGAGGCAUCUCCCGAUGUUUAAAGAUUUAUCGGCUGCGGAUGGCCAUGCGGCGCAUUAGCUAGUCGGCGGGGUAACGGCCCACCGAGGCGACGAUGCGUAGGGGUUCUGAGAGGAAGGUCCCCCACACUGGUACUGAGACACGGACUAGACUCCUACGGGAGGCAGCAG